UAAAAGCGGCGUUGUUUGACGUUAGCGACAGAAGAAGCACCGGCUAAAUCCGUGCCAGCAGCCGCGGUAAUACGGAGGGUGCGAGCGUUAAUUGGAAUUACUGGGCGUAAAGCGCAUGCAGGUGGUUUGUUAAGUCAGAUGUGAAAGCCCGGGGCUCAACCUCGGAAUAGCAUUUGAAACUGGCAGACUAGAGUACUGUAGAGGGGGGUAGAAUUUCAGGUGUAGCGGUGAAAUGCGUAGAGAUCUGAAGGAAUACCGGUGGCGAAGGCGGCCCCCUGGACAGAUACUGACACUCAGAUGCGAAAGCGUGGGGAGCAAACAGGAUUAGAUACCCUGGUAGUCCACGCCGUAAACGAUGUCUACUUGGAGGUUGUGGCCUUGAGCCGUGGCUUUCGGAGCUAACGCGUUAAGUAGACCGCCUGGGGAGUACGGUCGCAAGAUUAAAACUCAAAUGAAUUGACGGGGGCCCGCACAAGCGGUGGAGCAUGUGGUUUAAUUCGAUGCAACGCGAAGAACCUUACCUACUCUUGACAUCCAGAGAACUUUCCAGAGAUGGAUUGGUGCCUUCGGGAACUCUGAGACAGGUGCUGCAUGGCUGUCGUCAGCUCGUGUUGUGAAAUGUUGGGUUAAGUCCCGCAACGAGCGCAACCCUUAUCCUUGUUUGCCAGCGAGUAAUGUCGGGAACUCCAGGGAGACUGCCGGUGAUAAACCGGAGGAAGGUGGGGACGACGUCAAGUCAUCAUGGCCCUUACGAGUAGGGCUACACACGUGCUACAAUGGCGCAUACAGAGGGCGGCCAACUUGCGAGAGUGAGCGAAUCCCAAAAAGUGCGUCGUAGUCCGGAUUGGAGUCUGCAACUCGACUCCAUGAAGUCGGAAUCGCUAGUAAUCGUGGAUCAGAAUGCCACGGUGAAUACGUUCCCGGGCCUUGUACACACCGCCCGUCACACCAUGGGAGUGGGCUGCAAAAGAAGUAGGUAGUUUAACCUUCG
rnacentral:rRNA from 1 species